GAAUCUGAAAGAGAAGGUGGCAGUUUAGGUUACAGUAACGUGGCACCUUCCAUUGUCACAGCUCACCAAGAGGCUCAGGCCAGGAAGUGCAGCUGGAAAAGUGUGAUGUGACCUCAGGAAGCCCUGGCUGGAGCUUCACCAUGGCUCCCCUUCUUUCACACUGCCUGCCAGCAGCUUCUGCAAGGAGUACUGUUACUACCAAAGGACUGGUGACAGUGAAACACUCCAGGAAUCCCACAUUUGGACAGGCUCUUUCCCACAGCAAAUGCCUGCAUCUUCUUUGUGCCUGGCCCUGCCAACUGCCUUGCUUCAGAAUGCCCAAAGACCCUUUCCGUGUGUCAAGUGCAUCACAGGUAAGAUAAUCACUAAAAUAAAAGCAGUCUAACCUAGUCUAACCAAUAAAUCAAUACAAGCUCUCACCAGGAGUCUUGACAGGAUCUGUCUGACAGGCCCCUGCUGCAGCUGCCAACCUCUGAGACAAAGGAAGAAUUUCUGGAAGUUCAUCUUCCUUCUCUUCUCCAUUCCAGUCAUCCCAGAUUUUGGAGUCCAGGUAACUGGCUCUGCUGCCCACUGAUGAACACGGCUCAAUAGGGCUCUUCUCAGGGCAGUGCAAAGUUGUUCUCCUGCCAGCAGGACUUCCUUGGAGAGGGGUGCUGCCCUGAAUUCCCUGCACCUGGACUGGGCUCUCCCCCUGCUCCUGCCAAGAGCCAGGGCUGGGGCUGCUGGCCAUGCUGGUCUUUGCAUGGCUGACCUGGCUGGAGUCGUGGCUGUCACCUCUGGCUGGGGACAGAUACCCAGCGUGCCAGCAGUCAUCAACAGGGAGUGGGGGCUCCUCACACAGCAGGACACUGCUGCCCAGAGAAGGCAGACUUACUUCCCUGUCACUGUCCUCCAGCUCAACCACACUGACGUUGAUUUUAUCUUCCAGUGGCUGCUCCUGGCACGGAGGCACCAGGGUGGGUAAAGCUGAGAUAUUGGCACAUUUGCCUUCCCUCUUGGUGUGGCCAGGGGAGAGGAGAACUGGAUCUACUGGAAAAACUGGAAGGGGGUUCUUGGAAAAGGAUUCUGCUGCUGGGCUGCUGGGUGGGCUCCUUCCACUGGCCAAGUUCUCCACAGGCAAAUGUUUGUCUGACAAUGUUGUUUCAUGAGCUUUUAUUAAAUUUCCAGCCAUUUCAUGGUUAC